AUGAAAUAAUAUUUGGGUUUAUUUUAUUUUAUUUUCUCCUCACAGAUUCAAAUUUACGUCAACGUCCGUUACGUUGGUGACGUCACCGCGAGCGCGAGAAGUCGAACUGAGGAGCAGAAAGCGGUGUUAGUGUUAGUUCUGGCCCGUUUGGACCCAAACUAAAGUGUAUCAGUAUGAAGCAGGCGGUGACGGCGCAGUGGUUCACUCUCGGAACUCGGUUCACUAAUGACCGAAUCACCGAGGAACCGACCAAAGAUAACUCACACCCGCACGGAGAAGAAGAACAAGAGGAGGAGAAGAUGAGCUGGAGUGGGGCAAAGAGAACUGCAUUCAGAUCAAACGGAUACAAGAGAGGUGGCCGAGUUGUUUGAGGAUCUGAAGAAUCGAGUGUCACAAUUCAACAUGCACAUCAGCGAAACUUUUCCCUCUGACUACACCAGCGCGCACGCACAGAAAUUCAUAGUGCAGGUGGCGAUUGCAGGCGCAUUUUAUCCGAACUGCUUCCUCCAGGGAACUGUGGACGAGGAGCUCGCCUCCAAGGAACUCUAUGGAAACGACCCCAGGACCACCGUAGUGGUGUGUAAUCUCCCUCCAUUUGCAUUCCUCUACUAUAAACAGCUCCAGUCUCUCUUCAGACACUGUGGUUAAAUCAAAUCCAUCUCCUUUGACAGCUCCAGGGCCUAUGUAGAGUUCUACCGCUCGUCAAUGAGAGGUUCUGGCGUUCUCCCAGAGGUCUCUCUGUCUCUCCUCCUCACGCAGCAGAGACUUCCUCUCCAUCUCAACAUUUAACCCGCUGGAGAGGUGGAGACUUGGGCAGGGGGGUAGUGUAUCUCACACCUCAGAUAUACACGGUACACACACACACACUCUGCAGCGAGCAUCAUCAGAUGAGUCAUGGUUACAUUUUAAGUGAGAGUAGUCAUGUGACCACAUCCCCUAGACAGUGUGAUGUUUAGAUGAUGUUCUGUACAUUAGUGCUGUUCUGUUACAGGUCUCUCUCUCUGUGUCUCUCUCACUCACUGUGUGUGUGUGUCUCUCUCAGGGUGAAUGUGGAUUUUCAGAAUCAGUCAGUGAGCCCUGUCAGGGUUCUGAGCAGCUCCAUUGAGUUGGAGAAUCUUCCUUCUAACCCUGUCUUUAUCGUCAGUAUCACCGAGGUGUCUGUUCCGCCUCUCACUUUCAGUGCACAAAUAAAAAAGAAGCAGUGUGUGUGUGUGUGUGUGUGUGUGUGUGUGUGUGUGUGUGUGCGCGCACUAACAGGAGGUCCAGGUGCAGCCUUUGGAUAUUGAUGAAGAUUUACUGCCCCUGCAAGACCUUCCUCGACUGCGUAGUCUGGAGCAAAGGAUGCAACAGAGCCCAGAUUACAAGCAAAAUCUGGUAAACUGGUUGGCGCUUAUUGACGGGGUGUAUGUGCGUGACUGCACCUGGCGCAUAUUGAAGAGGGUGAUUGCUAACUCCCUGGAAAAGAAUCUCAAUUGGAGGGGAGUCAAUGGAAAGACUUCACUGUCCGCUCUCCAACUCGGAGAGGUCGUGAUUGCUGCAGUUCAUAGAAACCUCUUCACGGCUAAAGCUGCAGAGAUGGAGGUCGAGGGGUCCAUGAAGAGGCGGCUCCAGCUGGCAUCAGAUCGAGAGUGUGGGCGCAAGAGCAGACUUUUGAUAAAGGAGGGUAUUUACAGUGUUUUAACUGCUGUGUUUUUUGCGCUAUUAUUAAUUUGUUAAAAUGUUCAUAUUAUAGUCUAUUUUUAAUUGUUUAUAAAAGUCCUUGCUGUUUUUAAGUGGCUGAAUUAGUGUGUGUGCGUGCGCGUGUGUGUGCGUGUUGGUAGCUGGGUGGGUAUAUAGUUCUGGUCGGAAGUUGACAUACCCCUUGCAGGAGAAAGAGACCCUGUGUAAUCUGUUUAAACGACUUUUACGCAUGUUUUGCAGAGAGAUCAUUUUCACCUUGCUGUUUGGGUCUCUGUCCCACACUGUUACAGUGCAGUAUUGAGAGCGCGAGGGAGAUCGAUUUUCUAUCAGAAACAGUAACUAUAUAAAAUGGACGUCAACACGCACCACUCUGUGAGGUCAUUUCUCGCUCUCAACAGAGUAGUUGUGAUUGUUUAGUGUUUACGACGGGGCCAAAACAUUCAAGGCCAUGGUGUAUUUUGACUGUUCCUGUAGCAUAAUCUCACCAAACUGUGUGUACACGAGUCCACAGACACUGAGUCUAUUCACAGUUCCAUGCUGUGUAGAUGUUCUGCUCAUCCUCACUGUACCGUAAAGGUCAGAACCUCACAUCUGUAACCUUGUAGCUUUCCUUAAUCAACACGACUGCAACCAAGCUUGUGUAGCACUACUAUUUUUAGAUCUCCGCCUCUCAAAAGUAUUGGCGCCCUGCGCGUCCGCCUCUCAAAUCUUUUGGCGCCCUACGCGGCCAGCUCUCAAAUCUGUUGGCGCCCUAUGCGUCCGGCUGUCAAAUCUAUUGGUGCCCUAUGCGUCCAGCUCUCAAAACUAUUGGCGCCCUUCACGGGCAGUUCUCAAAAGUAUUGGCACCCGAUCUGAAUUUUGCCACGGCAAGCACCACUCACAUUUUCUUCAGGAAAUGUACCUUAAAAUAAUAAAAAGUCUCUCACUAGGCUGUGUGUCGAGAUAAACGUGAAAAUAUCUUGAGCUUGUGUUCACCACAGACCUUAUUUCCGGCAUUUAACCCAAAACCCCAUUGACGGAAGUGCUAAUACGCUGACUCGUUUCUGGGUUUCACGACUCAUUCCUGCAGCACUCUGUAAGACGGGCUGUUGUUAUCAAACCAUCGAAGUAAGAUAAGCGGCUUUGGUAAUGAUUCUUUAAAUGAACCGAUUCAGAAUCCUCUUCUUGAAUCGUUUGAGUCGUUCUCACUCGGUCAGGGUUGCACGUGUGGGUUGCUUUUCCUGCACGUGUAAUCAGCACGUGUUCACAGACCGUAAAUCCCGACCCCAUGGUAGACACUUGACAGAAAUUUCAUACUAAAGUAUUUUAUAUUUUCUGGGUCUAAACAGAGCAGAAGUAUUGCUAACGUGUUCUACAGAUUCUAUUGGACUGGUGAACUGUGUGGAUUUGUAUAUUUAACCCAGUUUAAUAUGGCCUGCUUUGUUCAGUCAGAGACAAGUAAAUCUGUUCUAAUGUUCAUUUAUUUUCCAUAGAUAAAACACGUUUGUUUACACAUGAAUACGUACUUUAUGCCUUCAGAAUGGUGGAGAUUUGGGUCUUAACUAUGGGAGGUGGGGGGUACUAUAAAAUGCACAGUUCUGAGACACUAUAUACCUAUAAUGUGAAAUCAGUACAUGUGUGUGUUUAGAAUGAUUAUAGCUUUUGGGGAAAAAACUAUUCUUGAAUCUAUUAGUCCUUGUUCUGAUGCACCUGUAACGUCUCCCUGAGGGCAACAGAUCAGAGCCAGGGUGAGAGCUGUCCUCAAUGAUUGUUUUUCCUCUGCUGAGGCAACGGGGGGUGUAAAUAUCCAUCACGGAGGUGUUGUGGAUAAAAAAUGUCAUAAAAUAAACAUAAGGGAGACCUAGCAUCCAGCAAAGGGGAGAAGAAGAAAAGAUGGGCACCUAGACACAUAGAAGCGGGAUUAGGCGGACAUUGACAAAUUGGAAUUACACUUUAAAGAUCUUUAAGAGCAGUAGUAGUCAAAAAAGUCAAAAAGAGGUAUACGAGCUGAGCUGAGGAGUGCUAAUACACACACACACACACACACGCUCGUACAGUCAAGGGCGGGCAAGUAGACACAACAUACACACACAUGAAUAACUUUAAUAAUCUUAUUGUAAUCGAGAAACUCUCUAUAAAAAAACAGAAUAGUAGGAUAUGCAGGACAGUAUGGAGGAUAUGCAGGAGCUUAAGCUCAUCACUUCUGAGAAUUCUCAUCGGUGUGGAUCUCGUGUGGUGGAACGGAACAAUAAAUCUGGACCCUUGCUUCUUCUCACUCACGGCUGGUGUCUUUUUUUCUAUCUCCAACUGGUCUCAGAGGUAGAUGUGAGUGUUGGCUUCUAUGUUGAAUUUUAAGUGUUUUUGGGUAAUAAGCUAUAUUUGAGCCAACAGAGGGGAGAGGUAAUAAAUAAACUUAUAAAUGUGAUUACUUGAUGAACGUAGACAAAACUCUAUAAAUGUGAAAUGUUUUGUUGAAGUUCAGAUGAAUCUCUGAUGUACAGAAUCUUCAACAGAGUUCUGCAGAAAGAUUUUGAAUGCCUGUCAUUCACCAGAACAAAUUUGCAGUUGAACAGUCUGUCUAAAUGAAAAAAAACUAAACACACAAUAUAAAAUUCCUGCAGUGUGAAUAAAGCCUUUGUGUUGCUUUUAGCAAACAUGUCUAAGUACUCUCGGUUCAAUGUACACAAUUUACCCCAUUUAAAUGCAUUUUGGAAAUUGUUCCACAUGGCCUUAAAGUGUGAAUAUUCACUGUAUGCCAAAUAAGUAAUCAAAGAACGGAAUGGAUUUUUUUCUUCUCUAAUGGACCAUUAAUCACAAUUAUAAAAGAUGAUGCAUCAGGUACAAAGUAUCAGGGUUUUUUCCCCCUCUUUUUCCCACAAUAGUUGCAUGAUUUUUGCUACACCCUUUCCACCGUGUGUGUGUGUGCGCGCGCUACAAAUCACUUUGAGGUAAAAAUAUUUUAAGGCAGCCACUUUCACCUUCCUACAACAAUUGGUGACUGGUCUGAGGUGAAGCUUCUUGUCAUGUUACUGUGGUCAUGGAUCACAUUGUGGGGAUCUCUGUAAUGUAACCGUUUCUGUAAUUAUCCUUACUUGCCUUUGCGCUUUUGUGCUUCUGUGUCUUCUGUUGGUGCUUUAUUCUGCUUUUUAGGGCCCAAUCACCGCUGCUGCAAAGCCCUAUUGGAUCUGCUGUUUAUUAUUGGGGCAGAGCACCGAAGGUGCAGCGCUUCCGGUGACCACCGGAGGGCGCAUGCACCGGAUGUGCAGGGCCCUAUUGAUUUUCUGGUGUUUAUUGUUUAUUUCAUGCAUUCUUGUCGUUUUUAAGGGCCUAAACAUGGCUGAAAACUCCCAAAACUCGGUAGACGCACCAGCACCAGUGAAAAUGUAACUUGCAUGGUCGAGGAGCUCCUUAGCACCCCUGAAUGCAGACAAAGAUAUCAGUUAGAUUCAGCUUCGGACACAAGUUCCAGGUACUGAUCGAGAAGGAGUGGAUCAGCUUCGGACUCAAGCUGGCCUCGGUGCGUAUGAGCAGUGAGGGCGUGGUUGUGUGUGGGCGCGUGAACGCAUGUAUAUUUAACCCCAUCUUUCUCUCUCUGUGUGUUUCUCAGCGUGUCGGCCUUGGAGAUGAGAAUCACGCCAACUCGGAACGAUCCCCUCUCUUUGUGCAGUUCAUCGACUGUGUGGCAGAUGAUGAGACAGAUGCCGCUCCAUCAGAAUCUGAGAGAGUUACUGUUUUUGCGUGAAGAACGUGGAGGAGCUCCAGAGAGAGGCCACGUCAUCCUGCUUCAUCUCCUCAUCCUCAGAGCAUACUUCUCCCUCCUCACAUAGUGGUUUGGCAUGCUGUGCAUCCUGAGAUGCUUUUCUGCUCACCAUGUAUGUAAAGAGAGGUUAUUUGAUGUUACCAUGGCCGUCCUAUUAACUUGACCCAGUCUGGCCAUUCUCCUUUCGUCAACAAGGUGUUUCCACCCCGAGAACUGCCACUUACCGGAUGUUUUUCACACAAGUGUGUGUGUGGGUGUGUGUGUGUGUGUGUGUGUGUGUGUGUGUGUGUGUAAAUCCUAGGAGAGCCGCAGUUUCUGGAAUACUCAAACCAGACCACUUAGAAUCUACAACCAUGCCGCGGAUAAAAUAACUGGAUUGCAUUCUGGUGUUUCAUGUGAAUAUUGACUGAAGCUCUUCAUCUGAUCCUGCUUGAUGUUGUACAUUGUGGUGUUGCCAUAUGAUUGGCUGAUUGGAUAAUUGUAUGAAUGAGCACAUGUACAAGUGAUCAGUGAGCACAUCCAUCCACCAUAGAGGUAUUUUGGGGCAAUACUUGACAAUGUACCUGACUUUGUUAGAUUUGUGGCCAAGUUGAAGAAGCUUUUGACAGCCGAAUGGAAAAAAAUUAAUAAAACAAUUCAAGACAAAUUCACUU